rnacentral:rRNA from 1 species
AUUGAACGCUGGCGGCAGGCCUAACACAUGCAAGUCGAGCGCGAAAAUUCCUUCGGGGAUGAGUAGAGCGGCGGACGGGUGAGUAAUGCGCAGAAAUCUGCCCAGUAGUGGGGGACAACCUGGUGAAAACCAGGCUAAUACCGCAUACGCCCUACGGGGAAGGGCAGGGGAGUCUUCGGACCUUGCGCUAUUGGAUGAGUCUGCGUCGGAUUAGCUUGUUGGUGAGGUAAUGGCUCACCAAGGCGACGAUCCGUAGCUGGUCUGAGAGGAUGAUCAGCCACACUGGGACUGAGACACGGCCCAGACUCCUACGGGAGGCAGCAGUGGGGAAUAUUGGACAAUGGGCGGAAGCCUGAUCCAGCCAUCCCGCGUGUAGGAAUAAGGCCCUAUGGGUUGUAAACUACUUUUAUUAGGGAAGAAAAACUUUAGAUUUAUCAGAGCUUGACGGUACCUAAGGAAUAAGCACCGGCUAACUCCGUGCCAGCAGCCGCGGU